GAUGAAGAACGCAGCGAAAUGCGAUACGUAAUGUGAAUUGCAGAAUUCAGUGAAUCAUCGAAUCUUUGAACGCACAUUGCGCCUGCCAGCACUCUGGCAGGCAUGCCUGUUCGAGCGUCAUUUCAACCAUCAAGCCCUAGGCUUGCGUUGGAGCCCUGCGGCUGCCGCAGGCCCCUAAAAGCAGUGGCGGGCUCGCUAUCACACCGAGUGCAGUAGAUUACUCUUCGCUCAGGGCGGGUGGCGGGUUCCAGCCGUGAAACCCCUACUUCUCAAGGUUGACCUCGGAUCAGGUAGGAAUACCCGCUGAACUUAAGCAUAUCAAUAAGCGGAGGA
rnacentral:misc_RNA from 1 species